rnacentral:rRNA from 1 species
CCUACGGGUGGCAGCAGUGGGGAAUAUUGGGCAAUGGAGGCAACUCUUACCCAGCAAUGCCGCGUGAAUGAAGAAGGUCUUCGGAUUGUAAAGUUCUUUAAUUGGGGACGAAAAAAAUGACGGUACCCAAGGAAUAAGCCCCGGCUGACUACGUGCCAGCAGCCGCGGUAAUACGUAGGGGGCAAGCGUUGUUCGGAAUGACUGGGCGUAAAGGGUGUGUAGGCGGUGUAGCAAGUUAGAAGUGAAAUACGUCGGGCUUAACUACGGUGCUGCCUCUAAAACUGCUAUACUUGAGUGCAGUAGAGGAAAGCGGAAUUCCUAGUGUAGCGGUGGAAUGCGUAGAUAUCAGGAGGAACAUCAGUGGCGAAGGUGACUUUCUGGACUGUAACUGACGCUGAGGCACGAAGGUGUGGGGAGCGAAAAGGAUUAGAUACCCGUGUAGUC